GAUGAACGCUGGCGGCGUGCCUAAUACAUGCAAGUCGAACGCAUAGCGAAAGGUGCUUGCACCUUUCAAGUGAGUGGCGAACGGGUGAGUAACACGUGGACAACCUGCCUCAAGGCUGGGGAUAACAUUUGGAAACAGAUGCUAAUACCGAAUAAAACUUAGUGUCGCAUGACACAAAGUUAAAAGGCGCUUCGGCGUCACCUAGAGAUGGAUCCGCGGUGCAUUAGUUAGCUGGUGGGGUAAAGGCCUACCAAGACAAUGAUGCAUAGCCGAGUUGAGAGACUGAUCGGCCACAUUGGGACUGAGACACGGCCCAAACUCCUACGGGAGGCUGCAGUAGGGAAUCUUCCACAAUGGGCGAAAGCCUGAUGGAGCAACGCCGCGUGUGUGAUGAAGGCUUUCGGGUCGUAAAGCACUGUUGUAUGGGAAGAACAGCUAGAAUAGGAAAUGAUUUUAGUUUGACGGUACCAUACCAGAAAGGGACGGCUAAAUACGUG
rnacentral:rRNA from 1 species